rnacentral:misc_RNA from 1 species
UCCUUCUGCUGACGUGCCGCUCGUAAACGCUGCCAGUCGCUGGCACAACCUGCCGAUCCCGCCGUGAAGACCUUUCUCGCCACCUGCAACUUAAUCAUCCAAUUCUUCCCCCUUUCUGCACCCACCCAUCGGCCCACCCCACACACACACCUGAUAAUGGCCUCCUCUAUUGCCAACCCUGCCGAGCUGAAGGAGCUGCUCGACUCAAUCGACUAUAUUCUUGUCGACCUCGACGGUGUUGUCUGGUCCGGGGAGAAGGUCAUCUCACGCAUCCCGGAGGCACUCGAUCACAUCCGUUCCUUCGGCAAGAGCCUUCGCUUCAUUUCGAACACGCUCAUCCUGCAGCGAUGCGACCUAGUUAAAAAGUUCGAGUCUCUCGGUAUCCGCGGCGUGCUCCCACACGAGAUCUACAGUGCGGCCUACGCCAGUGCCUUGUACAUCCAGGAGAAGUUUUCCAGUCCAGAGGACAGGCUCGUGCACGCCAAUGUCUUUGUCAUGGGUCCAAUCGGCCUUCAUAAUGAGGUGCAGUCCGUCCUGGCUCCUGAUUACUCGACCUAUGGUUCGGAGCUCCACUCCGUGGUCUACUCGCCGGACCUCGUGGCAGAAGCCUGGACGGAGCCGAUUCUCCCCGCCCCGCGCUAUGCUGGGUGCAAGCAGAAGAUCUCUCUGCAGGAUCUUAACCCCGUCGCGGUUGUCAUUGGAGUGGACUACGCCAUGAACAUGACGGAGCUGGCAGCUGCGGUAGCGUUGCUGCAAGGAACCGAGGCGCUCUUCGUGGCCACGAACCCCGAUCCCGCCGACCCUGUCGGCGCGAACCGCUUCCUCCUUCCCUCCUCGGGUGCCAUUCUAGCAGCUGUCACGACCGCCACUGGCCGCCAGCCGGACGUGCUGUGCGGAAAACCUAGCUCAACCAUGGGCCACCUGCUGAUUGAGAAGGAGGCGCAGGACGGAAAGGUAGUGGUGCUGCACCGUGCGCUGAUGGUGGGCGACCGCCUCAUGACGGACAUUCAGUUUGGCAAAGGCAUUGGUGCCCGCACUGCGCUGGUGCUGAGCGGCGCGGAGAAGCUCACGCGUGUGGAGGAGCUGGCCGGUGAGGGCAGAACGCAGGAGCUCCCGGACCUUGUGCUCAACUCGCUCGCCGACUUCCUCGCUGUACCCGUGAGCACCGCCUAGCUGUUGGUCUUGUAAUGCAAAAAGCAGAAGAAAAGAGAUGCCGCGAGUGAGUAGGGUGUGAUGCGGGGAAUCGUGGAUGAUCGUGAUAGGAAACGAGCAGCAGUGAGGAGAUGCGCAGCCGAAGGCUACAUGUAUGUAUAUUUGUUGGUUUCUACAUGUUGCAGGCUGUGCUGCUGCGUGCUCCUCUUGCCUCUUGCCUCUUGCCCCUCCGCCCCUCCCUGGCGCGCUCAAGUCGCAGGUCGCAUACCCGGCGGCGGCCUUGCAGGCGGGCCCCCGUCACUGGAGAUGGAUGCGUGGUUGGGCGGCUUGUGCAGAAAAAGGAAACGGGUGCUCAUGCGCGCUACUGCUGGGGCGAGGGACGCCGCACGGUGUCGUUCGCAGACGCACAGUCGUCAGCGCCAUCUUUCUCUAGCGACGGGUCCACCGACUCUUUUGACGCCCCGUUUUCGUGCAGCGCGAAGUGCGUGCGCUCCAGGCCCCUCGAUGCUAUGUUCUUUUGUUUUGUUGUUUGUUUUUGUUGUGAUAAGCCCUCAUUUGUUUUACUUCUUGGCCUGCUUGAGGAAGCACUUCCUUGCUCCCUCCCCCUCCCCCCCCGCUCGCAUCUCUCGUGCUUUUUCUCUGAGACACUUCAACCCAUUUCCUCUGCGUCUUCAUGAUGUCUCCUGGGCGUAUAUAUUGCAUUCGCUAGUGUACAUGGUGAACACUUUCAUAGUGAUGUUUCGACUCGCGGUUUCUUGCUCGCAUGCCUCAGUGGUGUCAGCGCGUUGCUCCCCGAGCUUCUAUGCAUACCGUACCACAGACCGACCUUACCCCACUCACGAUCGCUGCGGCACGGCUUCUUCCCCACCGUGGCCCGCGCGGCUCUCAGGAAAUGGGCGCAGGUGCACAGACAUUGCCAAAAAAGGGACUGCUGCUUUCGCCCUUUCCUCCGUCUGGCGUUUGCUUGCUUAGACCUUUCCUGUCUCGAAGAGGGGGAGGAGACUGUCCUUUGUUCUUUUAAUAAUUUUUUGGGGGCCCGUUGGCAUGUACAGGAAACUCGGCGGAGUUAUCUGGCCACCACCACCACCACCACUUUCUCGCUUCUGCUUUGCUUUCUUCUCUGCCCCCCCCGCCGCACCUUUUUUUUAUUGUGUCUGCUUCCACGGCGACUGUUUUUCUUCCUCUCUCUUGCAUACUGCUUUCGGUACCACACCACGGUGAAGCCGUGCUGUGUGCGAGAUAUGCUGCCGACAAGCGCUCACUCGCUCGCCGCCGCUCGGUCUCUCCUUCUAGCUCCCCCCAUCUCAUUCCUCAUGCAGCAAUUGAUCGUGCACACGCCUCUGCGGAGAGCAAGAAUAUAUAUAUAUAUAUUUGUUGUUGUGCUUAAUUGUGCGCUUCUCUCGGGGCAGAUCGGUGCGACAAGAUCGGGCGGGGCGGGGAGGAACGAUCGGGUUGCUUCCUGUCAUUGUCCGGUUGAAGCGCGAUCAUUGUUCUGCCUGUAAUCCUUACUUCCCAUGCUCAUUUUCUGUUUGAGCGAGGGCGCCCUCAGUGACCUUACGGUCCCCUUCGCUCUCGUUAUUUCCACUGCCCCUCCCAUCAUAGUAAGUCCGACCUACCCGACCUCCUUCCUGUCUCCAUCCGGUGAGACGGGAAGCUGGAAUGGCAGGUGGCUCCGCGCUCUUCUCCAUACACAGGCACAGGGCUAUGCGCGCAUGUAUGUUCUUGUGCAAAAGACGCACUGCGCCCCUGCCAUUAUGGACCGCGGCGUAAGUGGUGUGGUGUCACAUACACCGCACCCAGCCGUGGGAUCAAUGGACACGAAUGUGCUGACUCGAUCAAGUGGCCUCCGUGUAACGGGCACUCUCUUCGUUUAUUUUUCCGAUCUCUUGCUCGCUGGGAACUGAUGGGAAGCACUCGCGCCCGCGUGCACACCUACACCCACUCCACCACCACGUCUUUUUUUCUGUGGCCGUCGCUGUCCUGUCGCGUGUCGUCAGAUUCCCCUUCUCCUUUUUGUUCUCGCCUUGAGCCGCCUCAUCACAGAGGGUCAGACCUCGGUGCGUGGUAUCGCAGGUUCCAGUGCCCCUCCCAAACUCUGUGCCAGGCAGUCAAGCAGCCCCUCACCCCACCCCUUAACCCUGCCAAUGCUGAACCACCUCUGGUGGUGACAAGGUCAAGCACCAACGGGCUGGGGAGGCGAGGGCGAUGUAUCGCUGCUGAUGUUGGCGUUCAGGUCCUGGCUGACGUGGCGUCGGCGGGGCCGGCGACCGUGCACGCGUUUCUCUCACUUAUAUGAUGCGCGAAGUGUCAGGGGAACUCGAGUGUACCCCACGCCCCGCCCUCGCGCUGCGUGCUGGUGUGCGGAGCCGGCGUGUCACCCCGAGGAGGGGGAUGCGCCAGGGGUGGCGGCCGGCACAGUGGGAGCGGCUGCUAGGAGGCGGGUGAGCUGAGUUCGAGGCAGGGACCGUUCGCUGAGAUAACGGAGUCGGCGCAUGGCUGUGGCGCGUGUGUGUCGGCGGCUGCCGUCGCACCACUCAGAGAGGGGUGGGGCCUGUGGGAGGCCGGUGAGUAGACCUGAACGAAACUCAUAUUCUCUGGGCUCUGGGCACUUUUCCAGAUCUGUCUUUCCCUUGUCUGCCUGAAUGGCUUUCUGGUGUUGUCCUGGUCGGCUUCUGCUGUGCUCACGCUGGCACGCUCUUCGAACUCGUCGUCGCGGAACGGACGCGGAGGGGCUCGAACACCAGCGGCGCGGGAGACCAACAAUGCACACGCACACCCAUGCCAAAGGCAAAGGAAUCCCCCGCUUCGAGUGAACCGUGCCCGCAACCGCGUUUUCCCUGAGCGCGCCGCUGGGUCGGCGCACCAUCACCGCUGGAACCGAUGAGUACAUUCAAUCCUAUGUCGUUUUUUUUUUCGUGUGUGUGGAG